GACGAACGCUGGCGGCAUGCCUAACACAUGCAAGUCGAGCGAGUAGAUCCCUUCGGGGUGAAGCUAGCGGCGGACGGGUGAGUAACACGUGGGCAACCUGCCUCAUAGAGGGGAAUAGCCUUCCGAAAGGAAGAUUAAUACCGCAUAAGAUUGUAGUACCGCAUGGUAUAGCAAUUAAAGGAGCAAUCCGCUAUAAGAUGGGCCCGCGGCGCAUUAGCUAGUUGGUGAGGUAACGGCUCACCAAGGCGAAGAUGCGUAGCCGACCUGAGAGGGUGAUCGGCCACAUUGGGACUGAGACACGGCCCCGACUCCUACGGGAGGCAGCAGUGGGGAAUAUUGCACAAUGGGGGAAACCCUGAUGCAGCAAUGCCGCGUGAGUGAUGACGGCCUUCGGGUUGUAAAGCUCUGUCUUCGGGGACGAUAAUGACGGUACCCGAGGAGGAAGCCACGGCUAACUACAUGCCAGCAGCGCCGUAA
rnacentral:rRNA from 1 species